GGCUAUGUAAUUUUCUUCUUCUCAUGGUCCAUAGUUGCACCCUUCCACUAUUAAGGUAAGGCAAUAUGUCAAUAAUUUUCAAGCAACUUUAGCUGUAGUCUUCCGCUAACCGAUUGACCUAUUUAACUGAACCAAUCACAUAAGACAAAAACUAGAUGAAAUGGCUGAUUAGUAAAGAAAUUAGAAGCAUAAAAACUCAAUUGACUUAUGAACUUAAAAACCACAAUUUAUUCAAACUUCCUCUAAAUUAAAUAUUAAAGUAAUAAAAAUAAACUAAAACUUAACUAAAAAUAUUCUAAAAGUUAUCUUUGACGAGAG
rnacentral:lncRNA from 1 species